AUGUACCACUCGUACACUGCGGUUCCUGCGCGCCGCGCGCACCUGCCUGACAGCCGCUCGCUACAUUUUGUUAGCC
rfam:Pseudomonas sp. HTK17 Contig_1, whole genome shotgun sequence.